rnacentral:rRNA from 1 species
AUGCACGCUGGCGGCGUGCCUAAUCCAUGCAAGUCGAGCGAACGGACGAGAAGCUUGCUUCUCUGAUGUUAGCGGCGGACGGGUGAGUAACACGUGGAUAACCUACCUAUAAGACUGGGAUAACUUCGGGAAACCGGAGCUAAUACCGGAUGAUAUUUUGAACCGCAUGGUUCAAAAGUGAAAGACGGUCUUGCUGUCACUUAUAGAUGGAUCCGCGCUGCAUUAGCUAGUUGGUAAGGUAACGGCUUACCAAGGAAACGAUGCAUAGCCGACCUGAGAGGGUGAUCGGCCACACUGGAACUGAGACACGGUCCAGACUCCUACGGGAGGCAGCAGUAGGGAAUCUUCCGCAAUGGGCGAAAGCCUGACGGAGCAACGCCGCGUGAGUGAUGAAGGUCUUCGGAUCGUAAAACUCUGUUAUUAGGGAAGAACAUAUGUGUAAGUAACUGUGCACAUCUUGACGGUACCUAAUCAGAAAGCCACGGCUAACUACGUG